rnacentral:rRNA from 1 species
UACGGAGGGUGCAAGCGUUAAUCGGAAUUACUGGGCGUAAAGCGUGCGCAGGCGGUUUGUUAAGUCUGCUGUGAAAUCCCCGAGCUCAACUUGGGAAUUGCAGUGGAUACUGGCAGGCUGGAGUAUGGUAGAGGAAGGUGGAAUUCCCGGUGUAGCAGUGAAAUGCGUAGAGAUCGGGAGGAACACCAGUGGCGAAGGCGGCAUUCUGGACCAAUACUGACGCUCAUGCACGAAAGCGUGGGGAGCAAACAGG